rnacentral:rRNA from 1 species
AUGAACGCUGGCGGCGUGCCUAAUACAUGCAAGUCGAGCGAACAGACGAGGAGCUUGCUCCUCUGACGUUAGCGGCGGACGGGUGAGUAACACGUGGAUAACCUACCUAUAAGACUGGGAUAACUUCGGGAAACCGGAGCUAAUACCGGAUAAUAUAUUGAACCGCAUGGUUCAAUAGUGAAAGACGGUUUUGCUGUCACUUAUAGAUGGAUCCGCGCCGCAUUAGCUAGUUGGUAAGGUAACGGCUUACCAAGGCGACGAUGCGUAGCCGACCUGAGAGGGUGAUCGGCCACACUGGAACUGAGACACGGUCCAGACUCCUACGGGAGGCAGCAGUAGGGAAUCUUCCGCAAUGGGCGAAAGCCUGACGGAGCAACGCCGCGUGAGUGAUGAAGGUCUUCGGAUCGUAUAACUCUGUUAUUAGGGAAGAACAAAUGUGUAAGUAACUAUGCACGUCUUGACGGUACCUAAUCAGAAAGCCACGGCUAACUACGUG